CAUUCAAUGUUUAACAUUUCUACUUUAACAAAAUUACAUUUAUAUGUAUUUUAUCUGCAUGAAUAUUAACUUGGGAGUAUAUUACAGGCUGAAGCAAGAGCUGAAUUUGCUGAGAGGUCUGUCCAAAAAUUGCAGAAGGAAGUCGACAGAUUGGAAGACGAACUGGUCCAAGAAAAGGAGAAAUACAAAGCAAUCUCAGACGAGUUGGACCAAACAUUUGCAGAGCUUACUGGCUACUAAAUAUCUCGCUUCUGUGCCUGCAUAUCUCUACAAAUUCCAUUUUGUAUGUUUCUCACUCUUUGUCUUGGAUGUCAACAUCUCUUAUCAUCCAAACUGUGAACGAAAAACGAAAUCGACUUUGUGUUUCACGAUCAUAUGUGGCCGAGCUUGAACCUAAACGCAAGCUGAGAAACAUAAAUAUAGAAUUUAUAUACACCUCUAACAUUUACCAAAGUUGCUCUGUAUAUCUAAUAUUCAAACUGUAAAUUUCAAAAAAAUGUGAAAUUUUACUUGAGAGAAUCAUUAAAAUGAUUUUUAUUCGUUCA